AACGAACGCUGGCGGCAUGCCUAACACAUGCAAGUCGAACGAGACCUUCGGGUCUAGUGGCGCACGUGUGCGUAACGCGUGGGAACCUGCCCUUAGGUUCGGUAUACCUCCCCGAAAGGGGUGCUAAUACCGGUUAAUGUCUUCGGGCCAAAGAUUUAUCGCCUUUGGAUGGGCCCGCGUUGGAUUAGCUAGUUGGUAGGGUAAAAGCCUACCAAGGCGACGAUCCAUAGCUGGUCUGAGAGGAUGAUCAGCCACACUGGGACUGAGACACGGCCCAGACUCCUACGGGAGGGAGCAGUGGGGAAUAUUGGACAAUGGGGGAAAGCCUGAUCCAGCAAUGCCGCGUGAGUGAUGAAGGCCUUAGGGUUGUAAAGCUCUUUUACCCGGGAUGAUAAUGACAGUACCGGGAGAAUAAGCUCCGGCUAACUCCGUG
rnacentral:rRNA from 1 species